rnacentral:rRNA from 1 species
UACAGAGGUCUCAAGCGUUGUUCGGAUUCAUUGGGCGUAAAGGGUGCGUAGGCGGCGCGGUAAGUCGGGUGUGAAAUUUCGAGGCUUAACUUCGAAACUGCAUUCGAUACUGCCGUGCUUGAGGACUGGAGAGGAGACUGGAAUUUACGGUGUAGCGGUGAAAUGCGUAGAUAUCGUGAGGAAGACCAGUGGCGAAGGCGGGUCUCUGGACAGUUCCUGACGCUGAGGCACGAAGGCCAGGGGAGCAAACGGG